rnacentral:tRNA from 1 species
GGCGGCGAGAUGGUUCUUCGUCAGUUUUGUAAACCGAAGGUCGGGGGUUCGAUCCCCUCCGCCGGCACCA